UAACCCAUAUUUGCAAAACUCCAUUGUCGUAGUCAUCAUAAAUAGAUAAGGCAAUUUUCGCUUUGAAUUCACCAAGUUCCAACCAAUAGAAAAAUCAACAUCCUUAGGUAAUUCAAGGACACUAAAAUCUUCAGACCGAACAUUGAAGCUCAUUAUUACCCGAGUACUGUCACUAUAGAGGUCAGCUGCAUAGUACAAAACCCCUCCUUUAAAUAGUCCUUCAGUUUCUAGUGAAUGACCAUCCUUAAAUGUAAUCGGUCUCCAAGAUUUUUCACCCAUUGUGCAAACCUCAUAUUUCGCUAUAAUAUUUUCCGUUCCCAGCAAAAAAAAUCUACGAAAUUCAGGAGAGAUUCCUUGAAAUUCUUGAAGGAUUCCAUGAAAUUCCGAAAGCGUGUUCUGAAUUUGCUUGUCUAUCCACCGGAUAAGUCGAGCUGCUGAAUUCGAAGCUUCGUGUCUUUGACCAUUUCGCUCUCGCCAAAUUGUAUACAUUCUAAGAGGUAACCUAUAUACACACACAAUAAUAUCAUUGACAGAAGGUGACGCCUCCCUCAAUCUUAGGCCAGAAAAGCGAGAACCUUGCUCCUCCAAUAAAUAUGUCAGUUGGCAAAGAUGAACCCUGGUGUGCAGUUUCGUCAGGUGAAUUACGAGGAACAUAAGUCGAUGUGUUAUAGCCCUGUGUUCAAGUUCCCCGUUUUUCCGAUUCUACCGAGGCGCUCAGGGUCGUGAUUGCAGCUUUAGCUAUACCAAUGCCACGAUCAAGAAAUUCAGAGAUGCAUUGGCAAAGCAGAUGAGUGUAGGGUUUGAGAUGAUUUUAUUUUAAAGUUUUCCAAAUCUUAUGCUUGCCUAAUUUGUUUUCUCUUAUUAAAAAGAUCAUAUUUGGUAUUCAUUCACUCUGGUACGUGGUGCCUUAGAGAUGGAACAAUUUGAUAAAAAAAAAAAAAAAACAACUCAAUUUCCUUCAUCUCACUGAAUCAGCGAAAACAACAAAGUUAAAGAACCAAUUAUCCUAGAUCUUUUUCUAGAUGGCAUUAAAUGCUCCCAAGGCCAAGAUCAACCAGAAUAUAAUCGACGUUAGCCGUGUGGCAAUUGGAGAACAGAUCACUAACCAGCAGCGUGAUAUCUAAUAAAAAGAUAAUGUCCCAAGUCAACACACUAAUCCAAAUCUGAAGCAUACAAAAAUUACAUGUUUUUAUUCGAAAGAUGUUGAGGAUGAUUAUAGUAAAUACAUGUAGUUACAGAAUUCAUUUUGAUCAAUAGUUCUAAAUUAGUAUCAAUGUUCCAAAUAUUACAA